rnacentral:rRNA from 1 species
AGUGAACGCUGGCGGUAGGCCUAACACAUGCAAGUCGAACGGCAGCACAGUAAGAGCUUGCUCUUACGGGUGGCGAGUGGCGGACGGGUGAGGAAUACAUCGGAAUCUACUUUUUCGUGGGGGAUAACGUAGGGAAACUUACGCUAAUACCGCAUACGACCUACGGGUGAAAGCAGGGGAUCUUCGGACCUUGCGCGAUUGAAUGAGCCGAUGUCGGAUUAGCUAGUUGGCGGGGUAAAGGCCCACCAAGGCGACGAUCCGUAGCUGGUCUGAGAGGAUGAUCAGCCACACUGAAACUGAGACACGGUCCAGACUCCUACGGGAGGCAGAAGUGGGGAAUAUUGGACAAUGGGCGCAAGCCUGAUCCAGCCAUACCGCGUGGGUGAAGAAGGCCUUCGGGUUGUAAAGCCCUUUUGUUGGGAAAGAAAAGCAGCAGGUUAAUACCCCGCUGUUCUGACGGUACCCAAAGAAUAAGCACCGGCUAACUUCGUG